rnacentral:lncRNA from 1 species
UGAACAAUGGCACAAAGUCUACAUUCAAAGAAAAAAAUAGCAAAGUAUAAAAUCCUGGAACUGACAGAAUCUGACUCUGUAAGGACUUGGAUCAGGCAUGAGAGAAACAAGAAAAAGAGAGCAGGGCAUGCACUGAAAUAUACAUUAUAAGAGUCAUGGUCUCUGAGAGCUCCAGGGAGGGAGAUUCUUGCAUACUUCAGCACCUUGCCUGCAUAUAGGAGCAAAGAAGAGAGGUAGAAUGACAGGGUGGUGUGACCCGCCUAUAUCUACGCAGAGAUUGUGAACAGUCCACUUAUUCCUCUGGAUUUGCUGUGGCCAGGUUAGUAGGAGGAAGCUUGAAUUUAGCAGUACUGCACUUU